rnacentral:rRNA from 1 species
ACUCCUACGGGAGGCAGCAGUGGGGAAUAUUGCACAAUGGGCGCAAGCCUGAUGCAGCAACGCCGCGUGAGGGACGACGGCCUUCGGGUUGUAAACCUCUUUUAGUAGGGAAGAAGCGAAAGUGACGGUACCUGCAGAAAAAGCACCGGCUAACUACGUGCCAGCAGCCGCGGUAAUACGUAGGGUGCAAGCGUUAUCCGGAAUUAUUGGGCGUAAAGAGCUCGUAGGCGGUUUGUCGCGUCUGCUGUGAAAACUGGAGGCUCAACCUCCAGCCUGCAGUGGGUACGGGCAAACUAGAGUGCGGUAGGGGAGAUUGGAAUUCCUGGUGUAGCGGUGGAAUGCGCAGAUAUCAGGAGGAACACCGAUGGCGAAGGCAGAUCUCUGGGCCGUAACUGACGCUGAGGAGCGAAAGCAUGGGGAGCGAACAGGAUUAGAUACCCUGGUAGUCCAUGCCGUAAACGUUGGGAACUAGAUGUGGGGGCCAUUCCACGGCUUCCGUGUCGCAGCUAACGCAUUAAGUUCCCCGCCUGGGGAGUACGGCCGCAAGGCUAAAACUCAAAGGAAUUGACGGGGGCCCGCACAAGCGGCGGAGCAUGCGGAUUAAUUCGAUGCAACGCGAAGAACCUUACCAAGGCUUGACAUAUACCUGAAAAGGCUGGAAACAGUCUCCCCGCAAGGCAGGUAUACAGGUGGUGCAUGGUUGUCGUCAGCUCGUGUCGUGAGAUGUUGGGUUAAGUCCCGCAACGAGCGCAACCCUCGUUCUAUGUUGCCAGCGCGUUAUGGCGGGAACUCAUAGGAGACUGCCGGGGUCAACUCGGA